rnacentral:rRNA from 1 species
GACGAACGCUGGCGGCGUGCUUAACACAUGCAAGUCGAACGGUGAAGCUCCAGCUUGCUGGAGUGGAUCAGUGGCGAACGGGUGAGUAACACGUGAGCAACCUGCCCCUGACUCUGGAAUAAGCGCUGGAAACGGCGUCUAAUACUGGAUACGAGAAGGGUCCGCAUGGGCACUUUCUGGAAAGUUUUUCGGUUGGGGAUGGGCUCGCGGCCUAUCAGCUUGUUGGGGAGGUAAUGGCUCACCAAGGCGACGACGGGGAGCCGGCCUGAGAGGGCGACCGGCCACAUUGGAACGCGUCGCGGGCCAAUACUCCUCCGGGGGGAGGCGUUGGGAAUUAUUGCGAAAGGGGCGAAGGCUUGUGGCGGCAAGGCCGCUGGAGGGUUACCGGCUUUCGGUUUUUAACCCUUUUUCACCAGGAAGAAGCGAAAGUGACGGUACCUGAGAAGAAGCACCGGCUAACUACGUG